GACGAACGCUGGCGGCGUGCUUAACACAUGCAAGUCGAACGGAAAGGCCUGCUUUCCCUUGUGGAUUGCGGGUACUCGAGUGGCGAACGGGUGAGUAACACGUGAGUGAUCUGCCCCCAACUUGGGUAUAAGCCUGGGAAACUGGGUCUAAUUCCCGAUAGGACUGCAGGGUGGUGCCUGUGGUGGAAAACGAUUUUCUAGUGGUUGGGGAUGAGCUCGCGGCCUAUCAGCUUGUUGGUGGGGUAAUGGCCUACCAAGGCGGCGACGGGUAGCCGGCCUGAGAGGGUGGACGGCCACAUUGGGACUGAGAUACGGCCCAGACUCCUACGGGAGGCAGCAGUGGGGAAUAUUGCACAAUGGGCGGAAGCCUGAUGCAGCGACGCCGCGUGGGGGAUGACGGCCUUCGGGUUGUAAACUCCUUUCGACCGCGAGGAAGCCACCUGGUUGGAAGGGUGGUGACGGUAGUGGUAGAAGAACCACCGGCUAACUACGUG
rnacentral:rRNA from 1 species